GACGGAGGAUGCAAGUGUUAUCCGGAAUCACUGGGCGUAAAGCGUCUGUAGGUUGUUUAAAAGUCUGCAGUUAAAGGUUGAAGCUUAACUUCAAAAAUGCCGUAGAAACUUUUAAACUAGAGGAUGGUAGGGGUAGAGGGAAUUUCCAGUGGAGGCGGUGAAAUUGUGUAGAUAUUGGAAAAGACCACCGAUGGCGAAGGCACUCUACUGGGCCAUGACUGACACUGAGAGACGAAAGCUAGGGGAGCAAAUGGGA
rnacentral:rRNA from 1 species